GUGUGUUUGUACGAUUCAUCAAAGCCUACAGGCUGGCGGAGGAGGAGAAUGAGCAGAGGAGGAGGCAAGAGCAGGCGCUGAUAGAGAAGCUGGAGCAGGAGGAGCUGCAACAGGAGCAGGAGGCGCCUAAGUCCCCGUCCAACCGUCCAAAGCAGCGGCAGCAGGAGUCCCUGAUCACAGAACUGAGGAGGCGACAGGGCGGUAAAGACAGCAGACAUGUCUACGAGGGCAAAGAUGGAGCUAUAGAGGACAUCAUUACAGUGCUGAAGACCGUCCCUUUCACUGCCAGGACGGCCAAACGCAGCUCUCGCUUCUUCUGUGAUCCCACCCACACUGAAUAACACUGCUAAAACUCUCAGAGAGAGAGAGAGA